ACCCGACCGCGCUCCCCCUCACGCUCCGGGCAACCCCGCCCCCGUCCGGCGCGCACACGACCCCGGGGGCACGGCGGUGCCGGUAGCGCCGCCCGGCGGAGGGACACGGCGCCACCGGUAGCGCCGCCAUGCGUUAUUCCGGUGCGUGAGCUACGAGCAGCCCCGCUGCCGACCACCAACUUCCCAGUGCGGGGGGCGCGAGACUCUCUAACAAGUCAACCCCAGCGCAGGGCGGCUUCCUGCUGUACGAGGGCUCCCGUCGCGCCGCUGCUCUCCGCCUUUCGGCCGGCCCUCCUCCGCCCGGCGCCCCCAGUGGAGUUACCUCGCCCGUCACCAUAGCCCGGCGGGUCGCUGUUGGCGGCCAUAACAGUUUCCAUCCGGGGACUGCGGAGCUGCGAGCCUAGAGCUGGGGGCGGCCGUCGCGGAGGGAUACGCGUUCACCUGAAGUGAUUAGUCAAAUUGCAAAUAUGUGCUGCUACUGUUUUGGAGGAACUGAAAACCAACUGCAGCUGAAGAAAAGAAUGAGAAAAAGUAAAGGAAAAAAAAGAAACAGUCUAAUUCUAUCUACAGUCCUAAAGAUGCAAAAGACAACAAGGAAGAAUUACCGUGACAAUGGACAAGUGGCUACAGUUGAACUUGUGUGAAAAUGUUACUUUUCCUUAUCGGAAAGUGAAAAUAUGAAUUGUAUUGUCAGUUACACGUCCCACCAAAAUGCAUGAAGACACAAAUAAAUAUUUAAUCUGUGGUGAA